rnacentral:rRNA from 1 species
AUGCACGCUGGCGGCGUGCCUAAUACAUGCAAGUCGAGCGAACGGACGAGAAGCUUGCUUCUCUGAUGUUAGCGGCGGACGGGUGAGUAACCCGUGGAUAACCUACCUAUAAGACUGGGAUAACUUCGGGAAACCGGAGCUAAUACCGGAUAAUAUUUUGAACCGCAUGGUUCAAAAGUGAAAGACGGUCUUGCUGUCACUUAUAGAUGGAUCCGCGCUGCAUUAGCUAGUUGGUAAGGUAACGGCUUACCAAGGCAACGAUGCAUAGCCGACCUGAGAGGGUGAUCGGCCACACUGGAACUGAGACACGGUCCAGACUCCUACGGGAGGCAGCAGUAGGGAAUCUUCCGCAAUGGGCGAAAGCCUGACGGAGCAACGCCGCGUGAGUGAUGAAGGUCUUCGGAUCGUAAAACUCUGUUAUUAGGGAAGAACAUAUGUGUAAGUAACUGUGCACAUCUUGACGGUACCUAAUCAGAAAGCCACGGCUAACUACGUG